ACUAAAAAUGUUAUUCUUGCAAAGGAGGAAUUGUCUCUCGACAUUGAUUUUGAUGCUGUUGCGAGUAUGACAGAAGGAUACUCCGGGAGUGAUCUUAAGAAUCUAUGUGUAACUGCUGCACACAAUCCUAUUAAAGAAAUUCUGGAAAAGGAGAAAAAGGAACGAGCUGCUGCUCUAGCAGAAAGCAAACCUCCUCCCUCUUUAAGUGGGGACGCCGAUAUGCUCUCCAAACAUGGCGGACUUCAGAUAUGCUCGCGAGCUGGUAUGUGAGAGCAUAUCGUCCGAGUCUGUAAACAUGACUGAGCUUCUUCAAUGGGAUGAGCUCUAUGGAGAGGGUGGCUCUAGAAGA